UUAAUGUAAAAAUAAAUUGUUUUUUAACAACUUUAAACAAUGAAUAAUUUCUAAACUACUCCCUCGAGAAGGUGUUUAUAAAUAAUUUCUAAAGUGCUUUUCACGAUUGAUUUAACUGAACCUGAAUUACUUGUUUAUCUUUUCCAAUUUGCUUUCUGCAUCUAAAUCUCAUUUGUCAUGCUUGGCUUAUGUGUUUUGAUCCCAUGACAGCUCGGGUUGGAACUUGUUGGUGAAAGCCUCAUCUUUUUUCUUUGUUUUGUUUGCAAAAAGGGUCUUGAGUAUAAAGCUUAGCAACAAAGCAAAGUAGUGUUCAAUUACUUGGUGCAAUGGCCUAUUGUGCUCCUGAGCAAUUGUCCCAGUGUCUCCAUAAGAUUGUACCAAAACUGACAGAGGUCUCUCUUUGUGUUUAUGAAUUUUUUAAUUUAUUAUGUAAAAUAUUUCAUGCUCA